GCCCCCGUGGCCUAGUGGAUAGCACUGCUGAUUUUGAAGUUUCGAUCGCGGGUUCGAACCCCACCGGGGUCA